AUUUGGAGAUGAUGAUUUGUAUCAGAGGCUGUUUCUGAGGAUGGGCCAAGCGCUCUCCAAGUGCUGCACAAGAACUGAUUUGCGGUUCUGAUCCAAAA
rfam:Oryza brachyantha chromosome 1, whole genome shotgun sequence.